CGGUCCUCAUGACAACCGAUGUAGCGUCCGCAGAGUCGGGCGCCGCCUGUCAGAACCACACACAGCCCAUGGCCUCCUGCGACAGCCGGUACUUCGAGAAGACCGGUGCCCUCUUGGAGAAUCUUCGCCAGAAUGAGAAGAGGAGACUGGAACUCGAACGGGACCUCUGUGCCUACUACCGUAACCGAAACUGUCAGAUGAGCACUGCCAAGCUGCAGCAUUAUCUGAAGAACGUGUGUGAACGAGAGAAGCGUGCCAAGAGAAGGAACCUUGAUCUCAUGAAAGAUGUGGAGCACAUGUGUCCGCGUGGAGGGGCAUCGUCUCCAGGGCGUAGCGAUCUCCACCAAGAAAAGGUCUGCACAGUUUACUCCGACGAACCCAUUGUUUCAAAGGCCCAGAAAUCGCGGCCAUCGGAUGUCUUGCCCGGACGGCUUUGGGGAAGCGGCGCUUUGAGCGCUCCGGGAUUGCUGAGGGAGGUUGCCGAGCCGUGGGAUGCGAAUGAGAAGAAGGACGGAGCCUUGCCGUUUCUGUCGACAGCCGGCGGACCGCACGAGAGCGACGGGUCCUCCACGUCACGUUUGAUCUCUCGCUCGCCUCAGGAAACGACGGCAGCUGAUGCUAGUGGACCCAGCCUAGUAGCAAGCGGCUCACCCGAGGAAGACCGACAUCAUCCGAAAGUCUCUUCAAAUGCCAGAGUCACCAAAGAAAAUAUCACAAGGCCUCCUCAAAGACCGUCACCUCAGAACGAAUCCAAAAAUGACGCCAGCUGCACUGGAGAUGAUGAAAACAGUAAGAGCUGCAGUGUUUCUAAUCUCACUCCCAAAAAGCCCAGUAACCCCAGCAGCAAGCAUUCUCUGUCCUUGAACGAUGUUAAAGACCUCGUGGGGUUACCUGGAGGAAGUGACAUCACAGACACUCACUUUAGUGAGACGGGGCCACAUGGGACACCAGCAGAGGAAGGCCACAUGACCGCAGACGUCAAAGGUUUCAGCGGUGAUGUUUGGCGGGCUGUGUCAGUGGAGUCAGAGGUCAGAGAAGAACAUGGAUGGAGCUCGGUAGUAUCAGAAGUGACCUCCAUGGGGCUUUCAUUGGAGGGCUUUUUUCAUUUAAUGAACAGCAUUGAAGGAAGGCUUGAUCAAAGAGAAAAUGAGCUGUAUAAGAUUUCAUCAAUUAGUGAAGAAAAACUGAACAAUUUAAUAAGCCUUUGUAACGGCAAGGCUGCCUUGAAUGGAGUGGACCUUGAAGCGUGUGGAGCAGUCGUCCUUCAUCAGCUUCAGAGGUUGUCAUGGAGCGUGUCAAAAGGAUGCCUGUUACCCGAAGAGAUUGUUAGCGCUAACUGGACGAGCGCGGACGAAAAAAAAAUCAGGUCCUGUCUGCCCCCAGAUGGGUCAACUCUGUUCGAGCGGUGGCUUCAGCAUGCUCAUGCGCUGGAGAACUCUGGCCUCUUCACCACCAAUCAAAUUGUGGAACUGUUUACACCAUUACUAGUACAGAAUGAUGCUUCCUAUUUGGAAAAGGCUAAAGUGCUGGUGAAGAAAAUCUUGCCGCAAGCGUCUGACGCGAGUCUGUCUGAGAGCAAUCGGUCAUCCUGCGAUCUUCCGUCUCUCCUUGACGACAGCGAGGAAAUAAAGACACCCGGGCCUGACCAUUGGCUCAGAGACAACAGGAAACAAGGAGGACAAAGUGGUGAAGAGGACAGCAAGGAAGAAAGCUUUGUGGAAAGUAUUCCUAUUAGAGAGACGAAAGCGUAUCAGCUGCUUAAACAGUCUGUCGCGCAGCAGAGACGGCUGAGCUCUGAAGAGGAGGAUGACGAGUCGGACGUGGAUCUGUCAGUGGACAGACAAACGAAUACCUCUCGGGGGCCCCCGGUGCCCUCAAAAACAAGCCCAUCGCGAAGUCAACAAGGCCAUCGAGUUUGGCUCAGCAGAGAGCAGGAAUGAGGAUGUCUGGAGGUAUGGACUCCAACCCUGACUCGCCUCUCACAUCGACCAAUCAGAGUGCUGCUUUCUACAGCCAGCCUGGGAGUGGCAUGAUUUGUAAGAAAAACACACAUAAUCAAGAGCUAAGAAAAAUAUAGUGAAAUAUUAAAACAGACGCCAUACUGACUGAAUUCUCCUCAAUGAACCCCUUCGGGAAAGUAGUAUUCAAGGUUCCCUCAAUGCCGCAAUUUAUGACUGGACCUCUACCCUGAACCGAGCACAUCAGCCAUUGCUGUCCGGAGAGGGUGUUUACAGGCUGUCUUGGGGACCAGAGCUUUAGCAGACCUACCUAUCCCCCAUCCAUGGCUACCAGGCUAGCAAGCAAAGUUAGCAACAGUGGCUAAUUAGCCACACCAUCCAAAAGUAUCUAUGAAAUUGAGCCACAGUCGCUAAGAAAUAUGAACGUGGAUGGUGAACGCAGCUAUUGACGAUGGCUGACAAAUCCAGGAAUGCUGCUGCCCCAACAGACCACACCAUAGAAGAUGGCUGAUGCCACCACAGUUUCAUAAAAUGUCUUCAGGAGGUCCCACUGCACUCCAAAGGACCUCAGUCUUCGUAUGAGAUACAACCUGCUCUGACCUUUAUUGUAAAUAGCGUUUGUAUUAUGGAUCCAGUCCAGUUUAUUGUUCAGAUGAACACCCAGAUACUUAUUGGAGUCAACAAUCUGAAUGUCCAUCCCCUGGAUGUUCAUUGGUGUGGCUGGCGGAUGUAACAUUUUCUUUGCAGAAUCAUGUCAGUAAUGUUUGCCUCAUGAAUAUGCGACUUAGCACUUAUUCUGGUUUGAAGAUCAUGACCUUCUGUUACCAGUUUUGGAGUCUUGACCCCACACACACCUGUAAAGCUUUACAGGGUAAGAGAGUUUUCUGUGUAAUGAAAGAGGAAUCACACAUUUAGCUA